rnacentral:rRNA from 1 species
AGAGUUUGAUCCUGGCUCAGAGCGAACGCUGGCGGCAGGCCUAACACAUGCAAGUCGAGCGCCCGUAGCAAUACGGGAGCGGCAGACGGGAGAGUAACACGUGGGAACGUACCCUUCGGUUCGGAAUAACCCAGGGAAACUUGGGCUAAUACCGGAUACGUCCGUAAGGAGAAAGAUUUAUUGCCGAGGGAUCGGCCCGCGUCCGAUUAGCUAGUUGGUGAGGUAACGGCCCACCAAGGCGACGAUCGGUAGCUGGUCUGAGAGGAUGAUCAGCCUCACUGGGACUGAGACACGGCCCAGACUCCUACGGGAGGCAGCAGUGGGGAAUAUUGGACAAUGGGCGCAAGCCUGAUCCAGCCAUGCCGCGUGGGUGAUGAAGGCCUUAGGGUUGUAAAGCCCUUUCGGCGGGAAG